AGUCGAACGCCCUCUUCGGAGGGAGUGGCAGACGGGUGAGUAACGCGUGGGAAUCUACCUAGUGGUGGAGGAUAACUUCGGGAAACCGGAGCUAAUACUCCAUAAGCCCUUCGGGGGAAAGUUUUUUCGCCAUUAGAUGAGCCCGCGUUAGAUUAGCUUGUUGGUAGGGUAAUGGCCUACCAAGGCGACGAUCUAUAGCUGGUCUGAGAGGAUGAUCAGCCACACUGGAACUGAGACACGGUCCAGACUCCUACGGGAGGCAGCAGUGGGGAAUAUUGCACAAUGGGCGCAAGCCUGAUGCAGCCAUGCCGCGUGUGUGAUGAAGGCCUUAGGGUUGUAAAACACUUUCAUCGGUGAAGAUAAUGACGGUAGCCGAAGAAGAAGCCCCGGCUAACUCCGUGCCAGCAGCCGCGGUAAUACGGAGGGGGCAAGCGUUGUUCGGAAUUACUGGGCGUAAAGCGCACGUAGGCGGACUGAUCAGUUGGGGGUGAAAUCCCGAGGCUUAACCUCGGAACUGCCUUCAAUACUGUCAGUCUUGAGAUCGGAAGAGGUGAGUGGAAUUCCUAGUGUAGAGGUGAAAUUCGUAGAUAUUAGGAAGAACACCAGUGGCGAAGGCGGCUCACUGGUCCGAUACUGACGCUGAGGUGCGAAAGCGUGGGGAGCGAACAGGAUUAGAUACCCUGGUAGUCCACGCCGUAAACGAUGAGAGCUAGCCGU
rnacentral:rRNA from 1 species